rnacentral:rRNA from 1 species
AUGAACGCUAGCUACAGGCUUAACACAUGCAAGUCCAGGGGAAACGAUAUUGGAAGCUUGCUUCCGAUAGGCAUCGACCGGCGCACGGGUGAGUAACGCGUAUCCAACCUGCCCAUCACUUGGGGAUAACCUUGCGAAAGUAAGACUAAUACCCAAUGAUAUCUCAAGAAGACAUCUGAAUGAGAUUAAAGAUUUAUCGGUGAUGGAUGGGGAUGCGUCUGAUUAGCUUGUUGGCGGGGUAACGGCCCACCAAGGCGACGAUCAGUAGGGGUUCUGAGAGGAAGGUCCCCCACAUUGGAACUGAGACACGGUCCAAACUCCUACGGGAGGCAGCAGUGAGGAAUAUUGGUCAAUGGGCGAGAGCCUGAACCAGCCAAGUAGCGUGCGGGAUGACGGCCCUAUGGGUUGUAAACUGCUUUUAUAAGGGAAUAAAGUGAGCUACGUGUAGCUCUUUGCAUGUACCUUAUGAAUAAGGACCGGCUAAUUCCGUGCCAGCAGCCGCGGUAAUACGGAAGGUUCGGGCGUUAUCCGGAUUUAUUGGGUUUAAAGGGAGCGUAGGCCGGAGAUUAAGCGUGUUGUGAAAUGUAGAUGCUCAACAUCUGCACUGCAGCGCGAACUG